AAAGAGAGAAGAAUAGAAAGAGACGGGCUCCUAUCUUCCUUCCAACUUUGCUUCCCCAACCCGGUAUCAUCCACGCCAACUUUCUUCGCUUUCAUCGUCGAAGUGCCGUCCUUUUCAGCAUCCUUCCCUGUGUCUCUCUUCCGCUCUCUCUACGUCCCAAAACUAAGCGAAGUAAAGGAAUCAGAAGAGGACUUUAUUCUCUGACGCCAACUUUCUUCGCUUUCAGCGUCAAAUGCCUUCCCUUUCAGCAUCUCCAACUUUGCAUCUUACCUAUAUCUCUCUUCCUUUUUUGGUGAUCUCCGCAACGUUUUAGCUACCAGCGCGCGCGGCGGCGGCAGAGAAAGAUCCCAGCUUUGGCGAUCCCGAGGUCGUUCCGGCUACCAGCAAGCGCGGAGGCGUAGAAAGAACCCUCGUUUCGAGAUAUCGAGGAUGCUGCGCUCGUGCUUGAGGCCGCUGGAGCGAUGCUCCGGGAGGCUCGGCGGCGGCGACGGGCUGCUGUGGCACAUGGACCUCAAACCCCAUGCGUCCGGCGAGUUCUCCAUCGCCGUCGCCCAGGCCAACGUCUCCCUCGAGGACCAGGGCCAGGUGUUCGCCUCCCCUUCCGCCACCUACAUCGGCGUCUAUGAUGGCCACGGCGGCCCCGAGGCGUCUCGAUUCAUCAGCAACCGCCUUUUCUCCCAUCUCGAUCGGUUCGCGUCGGAGCAAGGGGGCUUGUCCUCGGAGGUGAUCAAACGAGCGUUUGACGCGACGGAGGAGGAGUUUUUGUAUCUGGUGAAGCGGUCAUGGCGGUUACGGCCACAGAUGGCGUCGGUGGGGUCGUGCUGUCUCAUCGGGGCGAUCACUGACGACAGACUCUACGUGGCCAAUUUGGGGGACUCCCGGGCUGUUCUCGGCCGCUGCAGCUUGGGUGGGAGGGCCGUGGUGGCCGAGCGGCUGUCAACCGACCACAAUGUCUCAAUGGAGGAAGUCAGAAAGGAGGUUGCUGCGAAUCAUCCUGACGAUAAGCAAAUUAUUGUGCAUACCCGUGGGGCUUGGCGGAUCAAAGGGAUCAUUCAGGUCUCCAGGUCUAUCGGGGACGUCUACCUGAAGAAACCCGAGUUCAGUAGCGAUCCACUGUUCCAGCAGUUUGUUUCUCCUGUUCCAUUGGAGAGGCCUGUCAUCACCGCAGAGCCAUCAAUUCGGGUCCAUAAGCUUAAGCCACAUGACUUAUUUUUUAUAUUUGCAUCAGAUGGACUAUGGGAGCAAUUAAGUGACGAAGCUGCAGUCAAGAUAGUAUUCAAGAACCCAAGAGCAGGAAUAGCGAAACGAUUGGUCCGAGCUGCUCUAAUUGAAGCUGCAAGAAAACAGGGAAUGAGUUAUGAUGAUCUAAAACAUAUUGAAAAGGGAAUUCGACGGCGUGUUCAUGACGACAUCACUGUUGUAGUGAUCUAUAUUGAUCAGCACCAUCAAGGUGGUCAUUCCAGAUUCAACCGCAGCAAUCGUGACUGCACGAGUGCACCUGUUGACAUCUUUUCAUUCAAUUUUGAUGAAUCUGAAGACCCUCUUCGGCGAGCUGAGUAAAUGCUAUGUGGAGGUCAACCAGUACAAGUACAUAAUCUGUCGAUUUCAUUAUCAAUAAUGCUUGGAUAUAUAUAAUCUGUCUUCCACAAGCCUAUGAUCUAACAUAAGGUGCAGAAAAUUGGGUUGUUAGCUACUGUCAAAUUCGUGGGCAGCCGGUGGUGCCAAAGCAUGACCUAAGACUUGAGAUUUUUGCCAAGCAAUCAAGAUUUGCGUAGGCAUCCAACCAACAAAGUGUUGCUGCACAGCCUUCGGCAGCAGAGUUACUCAUGCAUGCAGGUACGUAAUGAGCUAAACCGUCAGAUUCCCUUUUUUUUUUAGAUCGA